GUCAUCAGAGGCCGCCAGCGAGUGCCAAGAUCUUCGGCGUUCCAUUACGCAUCCGAUCGGAAGCUCCUGGUGCAGAACGGAACCCAAUCAAGGGAGAGGGAGGAUGAAGCUGGCCCUUGGUCGGAACGCGGGGUCGUUCUGUUAAGGCGCGAUUCCAAGCCGAUCGCGAAGGCGAAGGGUGGCCAAAGACCGGUGCUUCGCGGCAGCGGAGCUGGUUAUGGCCGCGUCCAGCCGAUAGCCUGAGGCGGGCUGGCUUUUAUUUUUCCGGCUAUGUCCAGUCGAGGAGUCUGGGAACGCGUCCGUGCGAGGGUGCAGCGCUUCCCUGAGCUGUUGGCGAGUUGUGGGGAGCAGGCCUCAGUUUAUGGCAAAUGUAUUGCUUCCAAUACAACCGAACAUGGAAACUUGAGAAAGGAUGUGUGCGCCAAGGAAUUUGCAGUGCUGAUGGAUUGCUUCACAAAGGCUGCAAAAAGAAAUGUAAAGACUUGAAAUGGACACUGGUGGCAAAUCUGGGAUUUAUAGUUGUUUUCAGCACAGAAGAAUAAAGAACUUUUCCAUCUGUCAUAUAUCAAGGUUGGCCAUAAUCCCUGUGAUUUGUCAUUGAACAACACUGCAAACUGGAAAUUUUGCUGUGGCAGCAAGUGAGGAAUUCAAGAUGAAGUCCAGGGCUGCCUUCUGUCUGUCUCUUUCUUUGAAAUUGCUUGGAGAUGGAUUGUUUAAAACUCAGUUGUUCUAUGGAGGAAUGCCAGAAGUAUCUUUGGUCCUUCGAUUACAGCAUAUGUUCACACUGUGGCUAGAAAAACCAUGACCGGGUGUGGAGCUUCAUAGCCCUUUGUAUUAAAGCAAUUUGGCUGAUAUUUACAAAAAAUAAAGUAAAUCAUAUUUACAUAUUGAAUUGACAGCAAUCCCACCACAAAUUAAUUGUGCUUUGGGCAGCACCAUUCAAUGGUCAUGUAGAAUAUCAUACUAAAUCAGCCUUUCCCCACCUAAAAAACCCCCUUCCUUCUAACAUGCCCAGCCAAGUCAGGGAAUAGCACAUCUGGGGAUCCUAGGUCAGGAAAGGUUGCACUCAGCCAUAGUUAAACACAGGAGUAAGCAAGCUGAUGUCUUCCAAAUUUUUUAUAACACCCAUAAUCACUGGUCAUGCUGAUUGAGUUUAUGGGAUUUGUGUCCAAAAUGCCUGAAACUCUGCUUGGCUACUCCUGGUUUAGUGUGAUGACAAUACAUUACAGCACACAUAUUAUUCUCAAGUAUGGCUUGCAAGGAGUUUGGAAUCUCGAGCUUCCAUUUGGCCAUGACUUAUGUCAUCUAAAUUGUUGGUUAGUGCUAACCAUAGUUUGAUGCAUGUGGACCAUAAUUUAUUUUGGAGAUGAUAUAUGACAAACUCUAUAUGACCAAACAGAAGCUCAAGCUUCCAAACACCAUAUGGCCUCUGGUGGCGGAGGCUUGAAAGGAGACUAUAGAUAAGCUGAAGGUCCUCUGCAGCUCAUUACAAUCACCUAAAAUCACAGUUUAAUAUGAUGGUCAAGCAGGACCAAUGAAGUGCCUGAGGAAAGGCUAGAACAAUAAUGUUUGUAACAGGGCAAAAUGCCCCUUGAAAUAGUCAAGUGGUACCAGCCACAUUUCUCUGUCUCCCUGAAUGGAAAUAUAGCAAUACAUUUCACAGGCAAGAUACAAGAAUGGCGUUGCCCCCCAAUCUCCAUUCCAUGUUGCAGGCCAAGCUAUACUCCAGAAGCAAUGUCUGUUUGAUAUUUUUCCCUCUUGUUCUAGGAAAAUAAACUGGUAACAGACUUGAGGAUAGCUGUUUAUAGCCAAAUUCCAUUAUUUCUGGAGAAUCUCAGAUUGGAUGGGCAAAUAUCUUUGGAUGUUAGGGAUAUUCAAAUGUCAAGAGCUUAAUUUUGCUGUAUCAUUUGUUAACAACAGAAAUAACAAUCCUUAUCAGGACACCUAGAACAAACCAAUUGUGUUCAAAUGUAGAAGCUUGCCAACUCAAGGACAGGACUAACAGAUUUCACAUACUGUAGUCUUCCGAAGAACUGGAAGGGAUAUAGGGGGACAGCUUUAAGCUAUCCUAUAUGUACUCAUAAAAUGGAUGAAAGAGGUAGAUGUCAGCUGGCCUACUUGGAUAGUGCCCCCUUGAAAUAAUGCCAUUUAAACUUUCACAAUUGCUUUCUCUUGCAGCAAGUAUCUUGCAAGGCUUUUAUGUACAGUAUGGUUCCAUAAUGCACUUAAGAUAGGUAUGUUUUAAAAACAUAAACCUACAUUUUGAUAACCAAGAAUGAAGAGGAAAGAAUAGGUAACUUUUAUUAUUGCUAGUACUGGACCUAUGGUUGAAGAAGAUAAGAGCAGUUUGUAAGUUGCUGUAAGGAUGCAUCUGAUAGUAAUCAGCUCCAUAUUCCUAAGAAUUUAUCCUUGAAUAGAUGUUCCCCUUUCAGACAUUUACAGAACCUCUUUCAUCUUCUUGCAACCAUUUCCAAAAGCAAAUCAACCCAUUUAGCAAAUGGUAGAACAGAAGAAUCCAAACAUUAAUUUAAGGGAGGCUAACAUCCACAUACCCAUAAAGGGAGCUUCCAACAAGAUAAAAUGACAAAUUAGACAAUGCGCUAAUCCUACACGCAGAAAUUAAACAGUUAAAGGUAUCUGAGCAAGAAUAAAAGCAUACAUGCUUCUUUGGAAAGGUGGCAAGCAUAAAGCAUUUUCAGAACCCAGAAAGUAGGUGAACCUGGGUUUCGCACACAAGCUACCAGCAGAGUGAGGAGAAACAGUUUUGAAGUAUGAAGUUGGCUGGCAGCAUGGAAAUUCCUCUUUCCCCCAGAGCAAACAACAAUGCUCAGUCAUCAGGGCUCAGUUCAGAUAGAGCUAGUUGACCUGGACUGCCAACAGUUAUAUACCAAUGGCAGUUAGCUGCGUAACAGAUACCUUUAAGCAGCUGGCAGAUUCC